rnacentral:lncRNA from 1 species
ACAUUAACGCUGGGUGUCCUUUGAUUCCAUUCAAUUCUGACUCAUCUACCUGGAGAUAGCAGUUUGAGGGCAUAAAUACUAAUCUAAUGAGCCCUGAUUCAGAUUCUAAAUCAUCCAAUUAAAUGCUAAUUGGCUUAUUCUCUUUAAAAUGAGUUUACACUGAUUCUAUUCAUUUCCUGACCUUUGGACGUAUGAGUCUAGUUUCCUUGAUUAAAAAGGACCAUGGCUGGAUGGUCCUAAUAAGAAAGCAAGCACAUAAAGUAUCACAGAGCCCCAUGGCCAACAUAACAUAAAAGAUGUGCUUGAGGCUCCACUGGCUCUCUGGGUCAUUGUCUGCGUCUUUACUCAUUUUAUGCCAGAGAAGGUAAAGAGAUCUAUGGUUGGCCUAAGUUUCAUAAAUAAUAAAUGGAAAAUAAGGACCUAAAGCCUAUAGAGUCCAAUUUCUAUGUAUAGAAUCUCUCUGUAAUCUUAAAUACACAGUAGUUUUCUAAUAUAAAUAAUGAUUAGAUAUACAUAGAAAUAUUUUUAAGCAAUUCAGAUCCUGCCCAAUCUCUCUACUCCCUGUUGCUACCAUCUAAGAUAUA